rnacentral:rRNA from 1 species
UACGUAGGGUCCGAGCGUUGUCCGGAAUUAUUGGGCGUAAAGGGCUCGUAGGCGGUCUGUCGCGUCGGGCGUGAAAACUUACAGCUUAACUGUGAGCGUGCUUCCGAUACGGGCAGACUUGAGGUAUUCAGGGGAGAACGGAAUUCCUGGUGUAGCGGUGAAAUGCGCAGAUAUCGGGAAGAACACCUAUGGCGAAGGCAGCUCUCUGGGACGGUACUGACGCUGAGACGCGAAAGCGUGGGGAGCGAACAGG